rnacentral:rRNA from 1 species
UUGUGUGUACAUGCCUACAAUGUUAAUGCAUUGGAUCUCAUUAGAAAUCUGUAGUUAAGCGCGAUUAGGCUAGAGUAGUACUGGGAUGAGUGACCUCCUAAGAAGUCCGAGUGUUAUACAUGCC